UACGUAGGGGGCAAGCGUUAUCCGGAUUUACUGGGUGUAAAGGGGGCGCAGACGGCGAUGCAAGCCAGGAGUGAAAGCCCGGGGCCCAACCCUGGGACUGCUCUUGGAACUGCGUGGCUGGAGUGCAGGAGGGGCAGGCGGAAUUCCUGGUGUAGCGGUGAAAUGCGUAGAUAUCAGGAGGAACACCGGUGGCGAAGGCGGCCUGCUGGACUCCAACUGACGUUGAGGCCCGAAAGCGUGGGGAGCAAACAGG
rnacentral:rRNA from 1 species